ACGGCUCAGUAACACGUGGCUAAUCUGCCCUUAGGACGAGGACAACCCCGGGAAACUGGGGCUAACUCUUGAUAGGCGAAGAACUCUGGAAUGAGUCUUUACCUAAAAAGAUUCACGUUAUCCUCGUGAACCUGCCUAAGGAUGAGGCCGCGACCGAUCAGGUUGUUGGUGAGGUAAUGGCUCACCAAGCCUUUUACCGGUGCGGGCCGUGGGAGCGGGAGCCCGGAGAUGGGUACUGAGACAAGGACCUAGGCCCUACGGGGCGCAGCAGUCGCGAAACCUUUGCAAUACACGAAAGUGUGACAGGGCUAUCCCGAGUGCCAUCCGCUGAGGAAGGCUUUUACCCAGUCUAGAACGCUGGGGGAAUAAGGAGAGGGCAAGUCUGGUGUCAGCCGCCGCGGUAAUACCAGCUCUCCGAGUGGUGUGGAUGUUUAUUGGGCCUAAAGCAUCCGUAGCUGGCUAGGUAAGUCCCUUGUUAAAUCCACCGAAUUAAUCGUUGGAUCGCGGGGGAUACUGCUUGGCUAGGGGACGAGAGAGGCAGACGGUAUUCUCGGGGUAGGGGUGAAAUCCUAUAAUCCCGGGAAGACCACCAGUGGCGAAG
rnacentral:rRNA from 1 species